GACGAACGCUGGCGGCGUGCUUAACACAUGCAAGUCGAACGGAAAGGCCCUGCUUUUGUGGGGUGCUCGAGUGGCGAACGGGUGAGUAACACGUGAGUAACCUGCCCUUGACUUUGGGAUAACUUCAGGAAACUGGGGCUAAUACCGGAUAGGAGCUCCUGCUGCAUGGUGGGGGUUGGAAAGUUUCGGCGGUUGGGGAUGGACUCGCGGCUUAUCAGCUUGUUGGUGGGGUAGUGGCUUACCAAGGCUUUGGCGGGUAGCCGGCCUGAGAGGGUGACCGGCCACAUUGGGACUGAGAUACGGCCCAGACUCCUACGGGAGGCAGCAGUGGGGAAUAUUGCACAAUGGGCGGAAGCCUGAUGCAGCAACGCCGCGUGCGGGAUGACGGCCUUCGGGUUGUAAACCGCUUUCGCCUGUGACGAAGCGUGAGUGACGGCAAUGGGUAAAGAAGCACCGGCUAACUACGUG
rnacentral:rRNA from 1 species